GCGCGAUUAGCUCAGCGGGAGAGCGCUUCCCUGACACGGAAGAGGUCACUGGUUCAAUCCCAGUAUCGCGCACGC
rnacentral:tRNA from 1 species